GCUCGUAUAGUGUAGGUGGUUAUCACCGUUCGUUGUGGUUCUUCCCUCUGAUCCCCUUCCGAGCUGACCGCUGUUCGACUCAGCGUGCGAGCA